rnacentral:tRNA from 1 species
AGCAGAGUGGUAUUAUAGGUCAUCUCGCCCCGAUUCAUAAUCGGGGAGAUAGGUGGUUCAAUUCCAUCCUCCGCAACCA